rnacentral:rRNA from 1 species
GACGAACGCUGGCGGCGUGCUUAACACAUGCAAGUCUAACGGAAAGGCCCUGCUUUUGUGGGGUGCUCGAGUGGCGAACGGGUGAGUAACACGUGAGUAACCUGCCCUUGACUUUGGGAUAACUUCAGGAAACUGGGGCUAAUACCGGAUAGGAGCUCCUGCUGCAUGGUGGGGGUUGGAAAGUUUCGGCGGUUGGGGAUGGACUCGCGGCUUAUCAGCUUGUUGGUGGGGUAGUGGCUUACCAAGGCUUUGACGGGUAGCCGGCCUGAGAGGGUGACCGGCCACAUUGGGACUGAGAUACGGCCCAGACUCCUACGGGAGGCAGCAGUGGGGAAUAUUGCACAAUGGGCGGAAGCCUGAUGCAGCAACGCCGCGUGCGGGAUGACGGCCUUCGGGUUGUAAACCGCUUUCGCCUGUGACGAAGCGUGAGUGACGGUAAUGGGUAAAGAAGCACCGGCUAACUACGUGCCAGCAGCCGCGGUGAUACGUAGGGUGCGAGCGUUGUCCGGAUUUAUUGGGCGUAAAGGGCUCGUAGGUGGUUGAUCGCGUCGGAAGUGUAAUCUUGGGGCUUAACCCUGAGCGUGCUUUCGAUACGGGUUGACUUGAGGAAGGUAGGGGAGAAUGGAAUUCCUGGUGGAGCGGUGGAAUGCGCAGAUAUCAGGAGGAACACCAGUGGCGAAGGCGGUUCUCUGGGCCUUUCCUGACGCUGAGGAGCGAAAGCGUGGGGAGCGAACAGGCUUAGAUACCCUGGUAGUCCACGCUGUAAACGGUGGGUACUAGGUGUGGGGUCCAUUCCACGGGUUCCGUGCCGUAGCUAACGCUUUAAGUACCCCGCCUGGGGAGUACGGCCGCAAGGCUAAAACUCAAAGGAAUUGACGGGGCCCCGCACAAGCGGCGGAGCAUGCGGAUUAAUUCGAUGCAACGCGUAGAACCUUACCUGGGUUUGACAUGGAUCGGGAGCGCUCAGAGAUGGGUGUGCCUCUUUUGGGGUCGGUUCACAGGUGGUGCAUGGCUGUCGUCAGCUCGUGUCGUGAGAUGUUGGGUUAAGUCCCGCAACGAGCGCAACCCUUGUUCACUGUUGCCAGCACGUUAUGGUGGGGACUCAGUGGAGACCGCCGGGGUCAACUCGGAGGAAGGUGGGGAUGACGUCAAGUCAUCAUGCCCCUUAUGUCCAGGGCUUCACGCAUGCUACAAUGGCUGGUACAGAGAGUGGCGAGCCUGUGAGGGUGAGCGAAUCUCGGAAAGCCGGUCUCAGUUCGGAUUGGGGUCUGCAACUCGACCUCAUGAAGUCGGAGUCGCUAGUAAUCGCAGAUCAGCAACGCUGCGGUGAAUACGUUCCCGGG